ACUGCUCAGUAACACGUAGUUAAUCCUAACUAUGGCCUUGGAUAACCUCGGGAAACUGAGGGUAAACCAUGAUAGAAGAUGAUUUCUGGAAGGAGUUAUCUUUCAAAGGCAACACCAUAGCGGGAGACUGCGGCUGAUUAGGUAGUUGGCGGGGUAAAUGCCCACCAAGCCAAUGAUCAGUAAGAGCCCUUAGCGGGGAAACUCUGAGAAGGACCCUGAGACAAUGGUCCUAGCCCUACGGGGUGCAGCAGUCUGGGAUCUUUUGCAAUGUGCGAAAGCACGACAGAGCGAGUCAGAGUGUUUUUCUUUUUAGAAAAACUUUUAUCAGCUUCAAAUAAGCUGAAGAAUAAGGACUGGGCAAGACCGGUGCCAGCCGCCGCGGUAAUACCGGCGGUCCAAGUCGCAGCCACAUUUAUUGGGUCUAAAACAUCCGUAGCUUGUUUUAUAAGUCUCUUGUUAAAUCCUGUCUCUUAAGGACAGAACUGCAAGAGAUACUGUGGAGCUAGAGACUGGGGGAUGUGAGAAGUACAAUUAAGGGAGUGGUAAAAUAUUCUAAUCUUAAUUGGACUAACAACAGCGAAGGCAUCUCACAACAACAGUUCUGACAGUGAGGGAUGAAGGCUAGGGUCGCGAAAGGGAUUAGAUACCCCUGUAGUCCUAGCUGUAAACACUGCACACUAAACCUCGGGACCUCUUCGAGAGGUUGCGGGGCUGUAGCGAAGGCGAAGAGUGUGCUACCUGGGAAGUACAGUCGCAAGGCCGAAAUUUAAAGGAAUUGGCGGGGGAGCAC
rnacentral:rRNA from 1 species